GCAGGUGGUUGAAUGAUCAUCAAGGGGGGCUUUCAACCCUCCGGUCCUGGGUUCGAGUCCUGCUUCUGCU
rnacentral:tRNA from 1 species